rnacentral:rRNA from 1 species
UACGAGGGGUGCAAGCGUUGCUCGGAAUUAUUGGGCGUAAAGGGUAGGUAGGUGGUCUCGUUUGUCUGGGGUGAAAUCCUUGAGCUUAACUCAAGAAGUGCCCCAGAAACGGCGAGACUUGAGUACUGGAGAGGGUCGUGGAAUUCCCGGUGUAGCGGUGAAAUGCGUAGAGAUCGGGAGGAACACCAGAGGCGAAGGCGGCGACCUGGACAGUAACUGGCACUAAACUACGAAAGCGUGGGGAGCAAACAGG